rnacentral:rRNA from 1 species
GAUGAACGCUGGCGGCGUGCCUAAUACAUGCAAGUCGAGCGAACAGAUGAGGAGCUUGCUCCUCUGACGUUAGCGGCGGACGGGUGAGUAACACGUGGAUAACCUACCUAUAAGACUGGGAUAACUUCGGGAAACCUGAGCUAAUACCGGAUAAUAUAUUGAACCGCAUGGUUCAAUAGUGAAAGACGGUUUUGCUGUCACUUAUAGAUGGAUCCGCGCCGCAUUAGCUAGUUGGUAAGGUAACGGCUUACCAAGGCAACGAUGCGUAGCCGACCUGAGAGGGUGAUCGGCCACACUGGAACUGAGACACGGUCCAGACUCCUACGGGAGGCAGCAGUAGGGAAUCUUCCGCAAUGGGCGAAAGCUUGACGGAGCAACGCCGCGUGAGUGAUGAAGGUCUUCGGAUCGUAAAACUCUGUUAUUAGGGAAGAACAAAUGUGUAAGUAACUAUGCACGUCUUGACGGUACCUAAUCAGAAAGCCACGGCUAACUACGUG